AGGUGGCGGGCAACGGUUGGUCAGUUUAAACUGCCGGGCGGGGAAGCCGGGCGGUGGGAAGCUGGGGAGAGCUGAUGAGGCAGGUGGUGAUUGGUCAGCCGGUUGCCGGACGGGAGGUGGCUGCAGCUGGGCGGGAAGGCCAGAUCGCUACAUGAGGACACAGCAUUUGAGGCACCAUCUUAAAAGCAGAGAGAUGGGGCCCUCGCCAGUCACAAACCUGCUGGUGCCUUGAUCUGGGACUUCUCAGGCUCCAGAACUGAACUACAUGAAACAGGGAUGAUCAUCACCUUCAUUGUUUUACAGAGAUUCUGGCUUUUGCACUGUAAGAAUUGAAGAUCCCGCAGCUGAAAUGACGUCAUAAAAAGGCCUUCAUUCAGGAGAAAAUUAAAAACAGAUUAUGGACUUGAAGCACAAAAGGUCUUUGAACCCUUGUGCAGCGUGGGAUGCAGCAUGCACCAGACAUAAGCAUACAGGAUUUCUGGGAGAAGAAACCCAACCUAAUAAAUGAACUACUAUUUCAGAAUGAGUAAUGAGGCAAAAAUUAACCAGAAAACAUACAUACACCCAGUGAGUUUUUUCCUCUCUGUUUCCCAUUGUUCCCAAGAUUGGUACACAUUAUAAAGAAAAAUACUAGCAUUUUCUGAAAUAAUAUUAAAUAGCAAAUGGAUCUUAACUUCUAUAACUGUUUUCCUAUCCAUAAAGUACAUAAAAUAAUCAAAUUUUAAAAUAACUUUCAGUGGAGAAUCUAGGUAGAAAUAUUGUUGGCACAAAUUAAGGGUGGUUUUCUACUUCUAAUAUGUGUAAACCUCUUUGUAAUUGUUCAGUUCAGUAGUUCACUUAGGAUGCAAUCUUUAUAAUGAACUAUGAAUGAGCUUGUUUCUCAUAUGUAUAAUAUGCAUAAGUGGCAUCUUUGAGUGGUUAAUGUCUUUAAUAUUUUUGGAUAUUACCAUGAAGAAAUAUUCAAAAUAAAAAUAAGCUUGCAAAAAGCACUGUGACCUCUUCCUCAGUGGAUAGUGACACAUGAAUCAAUUUGAUAAUUAAAAAUCAAUUUUAAAGUCACAAAUCAGAACACUUUUCCCUUAAACCAGGCCUAUUCCCAUUCUUUCACACCAAUUUGUCCAUUGACGUAAAAUAUGCUACUUAAAUACAGCAUCAGGAAAUUAUUUCUGAAAUAAUAUGUUUACGCAAGUGCAGCAAGAAAAUAUCAUGCAUAUACUGUAACUGCCUCUUGUGAAGGAAGGUCAGAAGGAGAAAUAAAUACAAAGUUGUUUGAAAAGAAGAAAAACUACAGAAAAAAAGGCUAGCAAUAUUUCAUUAGAUGCUUCAUGUAAAAACUAGGAGUUUGCCAAAAGAAAUUGAUGCUUUGAAAACACAUAGCCAUGUUUAAGUUUAGUUUUGUUGCCAAAGUUUUUUGAUAAAUUAUGGUGAAGUUAGAUGUUUAGAUUUAUGUCAAAAAAUUAUUUUGCUAUUAUGAAAACUGAAAAUAAAAAGGAAAGUGAAAUAUACAUUAUUGCUCAUAAGGGAACAGAAUUAUGUUGGCCAUAACAAACAAGUUUUACUUUACACAACUUUUCUACACUAAAUAUUUUAAAUAGGCAUUUUAGCUACUUUUAGUCUUUUCAAUUAGAAAGUUACAGCCAAGUUUGUGAUUCAGGUAUGAUUAAGUAUUGAAAAAAUAAGGCUUUUGAACAAUUCUUUAGAUGGUCCCUUUUAAAGGAAAGUUUAUCCAGAUAAAAACACAGAGAAGAUGACCAACACCAAAUUGGAAUGAUUUGACACUUGGUGACUAAACCUGAUUUCACCUUUCUCACUGGAUCAUCUGACUAAAUGAGAUAAAAAUGUUUUAUUCACAUUACUGCAUCAGUGCAAUUCAAAAAUCUUUUCUAAAAUAUCCAAGAUGGACUAGAGUUGUAGUCCUAGCUCUAACAUAGCUUCCUCAAGCAUCUUUAUAAAAAACCUUAAGAAGGAAUUCAUAAAGGUAUUUCCUUGAAGUUAAAUCUGGUGAAUCCAGACUGGAAAUAAGUUUAAAUAGUGAUUUAAACUUAAACUGCUGAGUAUUAGAAUCACCGGAAAAAUUUUUAAAAUUCUCCGCACCAUGGUUACACUCAAUGUCAAUUAAAUAAGAAUGUCUAGGAGUGGAAGUGAGUCUUUUUUUUUUUUUUUUAAGAUACCCAAGUGGGCCGGUCGCGGUGGCUCAAGCCUGUAAUCCCAGAACUUUGGGGGGCCGAGGCGGGUGGAUCACGAGGUCAGGAGAUCGAGACCAUCCUGGUCAACAUGGUGAAACCCCAUCUCUACUAAAAAAUACACAAAAAAUUAGCUGGGCAUGAUGGCGCGUGCCUGUAAUCCCACCUACUCAGGAGGCUGAGGCAGGAGAAUUGCCUGAACCCAGGAGGCAGAGGUUGCCGUAAGCCGAGAUCGUGCCAUUGCACUCCAGCCUGGGUAACAAGUCCGAAACUCCGUCUCAAAAAAAAAAGAUGCCCAAGUGGAUUAAAUAUGGAGGAAAGGAUGGGAACAAACAAGUUAAAACAUACCUUGCCUGGCAUGAGGAAAAAGUAAUGAAACUCCUAAACAUCUAAUAAAAGACUGUAUUUGGAUGGCAUAUCCACCACAUUUUUUGCAGCAUUAAAGUAUAAGCCGAGUGACUAAUGAACAAAGUUCCUUCUAAGGACUUUGAGGAAAUAAAUAAGAUGGAUUGAAAGUUCACUGCAACUUUGAGUUUUUGACAAUUUAUUUUAUUUUGUCAAUUUUUAGGCUAAAAACAGUCCCUAAAAGCUGUUUCAUACUGGUUAUGCUAAAUUCCAUUCAGAGUCUCCUUCAAUCUCCUUUUAUGGGUAAUAUGAGUCAGUAAUAGCAUGUUGAACUAUAUAUAUCAUUUUGCUGUGAUUUUUGUCUUGUUACAUAAACCUCUCUUUAAUAAUGUGAUUCUAAUGCGAGGGUUGACAAGUUAGAAUACUAUUAGAAGAAUUAAAAGAGAAUCAACAUGAUUAAUUCACUAUGUUUCAAAAGAGAAGACUGAAAUUUCUAGUUUUCAGAAUCUUGCAUUUCAAAAUUAUCACCGUUAAAAAGAGAAUAAUAUUAUCUGAUUGGAAUGUCAGAGAAAUCAUUCAAAAAAAGAUGUCCAAAAUCAAGGGUAAAGCCUAGUGCAUUUUCUCUGGUAAAUGGGGAACUUGAUUGGCUGAUGGAUAUGAAAUCACCAAACCUAAUAUAUCUUGUAAUAUAUUAAAAUUUAUUUUUAUACCAUGUAUAAAUGUCACUGUAUAGUGUUGCAAGAUUGUGUGUGUUUUUAAUCACUGUGUUUAUCAACAUAGGUAAACUGCUAAUGCUAAAAAUUCACUUGUCUAUAAAAAUGCAGGCUUAUUUGUGGGGCCUAUCCAGUACAUGGUGAUAGAAGAGAGGAGUGCUAUGUUACUUUGCUCUGUCAUUUAGAACUGCUUCUUUUCAUCCAUGGCUUCUCCAUCUCUACCAAGGGCUUGCCACCUUCUUCGGGCUCCUCUGUUACCAGCUCUGAGAUAAAGGAGAGUAAGUGUGGAGAAUGGUGAAGAAGUGUGAUAUGCAGACAUUUCUGAAAUGUCAAGAUAGCUGACACCUUGCUCUUGAACUUCCUUUCCUUCAGAAUGAGAAAUAAAUUUGUGUUAAGUUGCCCAAUCUGUAAUAUAUUAUAGCAGCCUCAGAACAUUAAAAUAGUCAUAGACCCUUCUGAUUUCUAAUGGUCAGAAUUCAGUCACAUGACCUGGCUCAAAAAAGACUGGGAAAUUAGUCUAACUUUUAAAAGAGGAGAAACAUGGAUUCUGUCCUCUUGAUCAAUAAAUAUCUUUUGUUCAUUUAUUCUAUCUAUAAGAUACCAAAAGCCUCUCUCCAAGGGAUUCAGCACAAAGUCUAAGAUUUCUAGGCAAUAUAAUAUAUUGUUCACUAUUCUCUUUGAUCUUGGCUUUGACCUGGAAGAUUUUUUUUUUUCCUUCUGUUGUUAACUUCUUGUCUGUCUUUAGUAAGCAUUUUAAUCUUGUAUCACUUUUUCAGGCUGGUUCCUAUGAAAUCAAACUUGAGUCCAAAGAUUGUGUUACAGAUUGAAUAAUAAAAGGCAAUAAAAUUUCCUAAAGUAUUGAUAGGUUAUUAUUCUAUGCAGUCUACAAUAUUCUCUUGAUAUAUUCCUUUGCUUUCUCACUUCUAAGUUUCUCUUUUUUAGCUUACUGGCACACCCACACCCUUAGUCUAAACAUGUUCCAGAUCUGAGUUAAGGAGGAAAUCUUACAAAAAGCUUUCUAAAUUCUUAUAAAGAAUUGGAGUCCAGGCAAGUACUUCAAAACCUGAAUAAACCCAAGUUUCUGGUUUUUUUUUAUUCCUUUUCAUUUAAUGUUUCCUACUCUUUUCUAAACUUAUCUUUUUAGGUAAUACAUUGUUCAGCAUAGUAAAUAACCAUAUCCAAAAGAUAUCAACAUUUUUUAGCCAACCUCUUUUCUUAAAGGUAGAUCUCGGGAGACAUAUCUUCUCUCUUCUACUAGUGUUUAAAUGUUUGACACUGAAUAACACAGAUAUAUAGCUGUCCAUCCUGUUUGUUCCUUCACUACCUACCUCCAGUCUGAUAAAUCAGUAAUUAAAUGUUGGAAGUUUCCGCUGCAAAAGCAGCUGUUAAUAUCUUUAGUAAAUUAAAUCACACUAACCAUUGAAAUAAUCAGCCUCAGAAUGUUGAGUUACUUUGACAUUCACACCACCAUCCACUGUGUGUUAGCUGCAUCAGGGAGAAAUGGGAGGUUCCUUCUCUGUUCCAUGCAGUCACUCAGGUACCCAGCCCCCUUCCGUAUUUUGAUAGUGUUAUCAUAAAGGCUCAGGGUCUUCCCAUUGGAGGCUUUACCUCAAACAGUCAAACAAGGAAAAGGAUAUGGAGAGUGGGGACUAGAAGAAGUGAACAUUACUUUUGCCCACAAUCUUUUACCUAGAACUCAGUCACAUGGCUUUACCUAACUUUAAGAGGGUUGUACAAUGAUCUCCAGUAGUGUUUCCUGGAAGAAUAAGUGAAACACAAAUACUGCUCAGCUGUAUCAUCUCCCUCAAUUAUCAUCUAUUUCAAAUGAUUGUUUCAUCUAAAGAUAAAGUAAUAUACAAUUAGGCCUAUUUAAUUUACUCACUAAAGCACCAUGCAUACAAUUUCUUUUUAUUACUAUUGGCCUGAACCUAGGUUUACCAGAUGAAACAAAGAAUUCACAGUUAAACCUGAAUUUCAGGUACACUACAGAUAAUUUUUAGUAUAGGUAUUCUCCAAAAUUGCAUGUGUCAAACUUAUUAAAAAAAUCAUUGUUUAUCCAGAAUUUAAAUGUUACUAAAUAUCUUUCUUAUUUGAUUGUAUUGCCGAAUCUGUCAAUCCCAGCCUGAACACUUUUAUUUUCAUUAUUGUGAAGCAUGCUCAAAGAUGUCAAUAUGAAUUACGUCAAGUGUCAAUAUCAUAUGUCUUCCCUCAAUUACCUUUAAACAAACACUGCUUCAAACAAAAGGUAUAGUCUUGACUAAUAUCUGCUAUUUAAAUCUAAUUUAUAUAUGCCUAGAAUUAUUUAUAACUAGUCUUUAGUGUGAUAUAAGACUUGAUAUUUUUAUUAAAUUUCAGUACAACCCCCUUAAAAUAAUCUUAUGCUACUUUUAUUUCAAUAUAUGUGUUUUC